GAUUUCUAAAUUUUCAGAUUUUUAAAUUAAAAUAUCGAAUUUUUAGGACGAGUGCGAAUGUGGAUAGACGUGCGGCCUGAGGAGGAGGGUAUCCCAAUGGUCUAGUUUCAGAUGCAGAAGAAAAUAUCGAUGAGGAGCCGACUGUGAGCGAAGCCGACACCGAAAUUUACAUACCGCUACAAGCAAACGACUUGGAUGAAUCCGAAUAUGAGGAAGAAGAAAAUGAGGAGGAAAAUGAA